rnacentral:tRNA from 1 species
CAGAAACUAGGAGGUUUUAACUCCUGCUUAGGGCUUUGAAGGCCUUUGGUCUGAUUAUCCUAAGUUUCUCU